AUUGAACGCUGGCGGCAGGCCUAACACAUGCAAGUCGAGCGGGGUUUUCGGACCUAGCGGCGGACGGGUGAGUAAUGCGUAGGAAGCUACCCGAUAGAGGGGGAUACCAGUUGGAAACGACUGUUAAUACCGCAUAAUGUCUACGGACCAAAGUGUGGGACCUUCGGGCCACAUGCUAUCGGAUGCGCCUACGUGGGAUUAGCUAGUUGGUGGGGUAAUGGCUCACCAAGGCGACGAUCCCUAGCUGGUUUGAGAGGAUGAUCAGUCACACUGGAACUGAGACACGGUCCAGACUCCUACGGGAGGCAGCAGUGGGGAAUAUUGGACAAUGGGCGAAAGCCUGAUCCAGCCAUGCCGCGUGUGUGAAGAAGGUCUUCGGAUUGUAAAGCACUUUAAGUUGGGAGGAAGGGCAGUAAGUUAAUACCUUGCUGUUUUGUACGUUACCAACAGAAUAAGCACCGGCUAACUUCGUGCCAGCAGCCGCGGUAAUGUGACU
rnacentral:rRNA from 1 species